rnacentral:rRNA from 1 species
AGGAACGCUGGCGGCGUGGAUUAGGCAUGCAAGUCGAACGGUAUCAUCCUUUCGGGGGUGAGAGAGUGGCGAACUGGUGAGUAACACGUAGGUUAUCUACCUCAAGACGGGGACAACCCAGGGAAACUUGGGCUAAUACCGGAUGUGAGCAACUUUUAGUUGUUUGAAAGGUGGCGUAAGCUGUCGCUUGGGGAUGAGCCUGCGUCCUAUUAGUUAGUUGGUGAGGUAACGGCUCACCUAGGCAAUGAUAGGUAGGCGGCCUUAACGGGUGGUCGCCCACACUGGGAUUGAGAUACGGCCCAGACUCCUACGGGAGGCAGCAGUCGAGAAUAGUCUACAAUGGUCGGAAGACUGAUAGUGCGACGCCGCGUGAACGAUGAAUCCCUUCGGGGUGUAAAGUUCUUUUAUAUGUGAGCAGUGCUUCUUAUAUUAACAGUAUGGGGAGAGAGAUAUUAGCAUAUGAAUAAGCAACGGCUAACUCCGUG